GACGAACGCUGGCGGCGUGCCUAAUACAUGCAAGUUGAGCGCUGAAGGUUGGUACUUGUACCAACUGGAUGAGCAGCGAACGGGUGAGUAACGCGUGGGGAAUCUGCCUUUGAGCGGGGGACAACAUUUGGAAACGAAUGCUAAUACCGCAUAAAAACUUUAAACACAAGUUUUAAGGGUGAAAGAUGCAAUUGCAUCACUCAAAGAUGAUCCCGCGUUGUAUUAGCUAGUUGGUGAGGUAAAGGCUCACCAAGGCGAUGAUACAUAGCCGACCUGAGAGGGUGAUCGGCCACAUUGGGACUGAGACCCGGCCCAAACUCCUACGGGAGGCAGCAGUAGGGAAUCUUCGGCCAUGGACGACAGUCUGACCGAGCACCGCCGCGUGAGUGAAGAAGGUUUUCGGAUCGUAAAACUCUGUUGGUAGGGAAGAACGUUGGUGAGAGUGGAAAGCUCAUCAAGUGACGGUAACUACCCAGAAAGGGACGGCUAACUACGUG
rnacentral:rRNA from 1 species